GGUCUGGUGGUCUAGUGGUAUGAUUCGCGCUUAGGGAUUACCCUGAGUUUAAUGCGCGAGGUCCGUAAGUAUUUACUCAUUCGAAUUGAUCUGCAUAUACAUUGGUUCUAACAACAUCACAGCGGGUUCAAUCCCCGGCCAGACCC